ACAGAAACGACAAUCUUCUCGCUAUUCACUUCUGUGUAGAGCUCAAGUAUUUAUGUUGUGCUAGAGUAAACGGAGUCGUGACAUACGCGCGAACCGAGCGCCGACCAAUAGAAGCUCUAAGCGAGGUCAACAAAAUCUCCAUGACGUUAUACUGCGAUUGGCGGCAGGACAAGCGAAAUGGCGUGUUGCGAUAAGGUAAUCAUCAUCAUCGUAGAAAUCAUCACCAUCAUCUGUGCAAGUGAACUACCUUAUUUCUUAAUAUCAGCGAUAGCAUCAGUGUAGGGCCGUUUCCAUGUCAGUCAAAUCAGGGAAGAAGGCGAGAGAAGUUGAUACACAGGGUAGACUAACUUACCGAGGAAUGGAGUACUACAUAACUAUCGAUCGAUGUUCCAAAAUUUGAGACUGGAUGCGCAAGGCCGGUAGAAGUGCCCAGCGAUAAAUGGAGGGGUAUGGUGGUGGGGCGAUAAAGUAACACCGAUGUACACUAGUUUCGAAAUCAGUUUUUCAGUACACGUAUUUAAGCGCGGCCACCCCAAUCAGUCCGUUAGUCAUCAUAUAAAAGCCACACCCGUUUGCAUUAGGUGGACGGAGAGAAAUACAGUAGCUUGUUUAGACCUAAUUUUUUAUGAUAAAAAAAGUAGAAUAACUUCUUCUCGCUUUUACGCGAGACUAGGCUGACUAUUUAUACCUAUUACGGCCAAACGUCUGAACUUUUGAACGUCAGACCAGCUGUUUCGGAAGCACCCCGUCACGAUUUACAUAAUGGUGUAUGGGCUUCAUGUCACUACAUACCUUGUAAUUAUCAUUUUAAUUAUGCAUAAGCUCAUGAAACCAUGCAAUCAU